rnacentral:ncRNA from 1 species
GGGCGGGGCGAAAUUCCCCACCGGCGGUAAGUUAGUCCAUUGCGGACGAGCAAGCCCGCGAGCGCCAUCUCCAGCGAGGUGGGUCAGCAGAUCUGGUGUAAUUCCAGAGCCGACGGUCAUAGUCCGGAUGAAAGAGAACG